AAUCUACUCCCUCCGUCCCAAAAUUCUUGUCUUAUAUUUGUCUAAAUACGAAUGUAUCAAGUCACAUUUUAGUAUUAGAUACAUCCGUAUCUAGACAAAUCUAAGACAAGAAUUUUGGGACGGAGGGAGUAUUUC
rnacentral:pre_miRNA from 1 species